UGAAUACGAGACGCUAAGGCGUCGAAGUAGUGUAUGUCAUACUUCCAAGAAAAGCUUGCACUGUCAUAAGUAAAAAAUGCCUGUACCAUAACCGACACAGGUGGGUAGGUAGAGUAUACUAAGGGGCGCGAGAUAACUCUCUCUAAGGAACUCGGCAAAAUAACUCCGUAACUUCGGGAGAAGGAGUACCUUAUUCUAUAAGGUUGCAAUAACAAGAUCCAAGCAACUGUUUAUCAAAAACACAGGUCUCCGCUAAGUCGUAAGACGAUGUAUGGGGGCUGACGCCUGCCCAGUGCCAGAAGGUUAAAGAAGUCGGUUAGCAUUAGCGAAGCUGGUAACUGAAGCCCUGGUGAACGGCGGCCGUAACAAUAACGGUCCUAAGGUAGCGAAAUUCCUUGUCGGGUAAGUUCCGACCCGCACGAAAGGCGUAAUGAUUUGGAUACUGUCUCGGAGAGGGGCUCGGUGAAAUAGACUUGUCUGUGAAGAUGCGGACUACCUGCACCAGGACAGAAAGACCCUAUGAAGCUUUACUGUAACUUGAAAUUGAAAUUGGACUUUAUUCGCGCAGUAUAGGUGGGAGGUGUUGGUUAUAAUCUUGCGGGAUUAUUGGAGCCAUCAGUGAGAUACCACUCUUGUAAUGUUAGAUUUCUAACUUUGAAUCAUUAUCUGGUCAAAGGACAGUUUCAGGCGGGCAGUUUGACUGGGGCGGUCGCCUCCCAAACGGUAACGGAGGCGUACAAAGGUUUCCUCUGAACGGGUAGAAAUCGUAUCUAGAGUGUAAAGGCAUAAGGAAGCUUGACUGUGAGACCUACAAGUCGAACAGGGACGAAAGUCGGUCUUAGUGAUCUGACGGUACUGAGUGGAAAGGCCGUCACUCAACGGAUAAAAGUUACUCUAGGAUAACAGGCUGAUCUCCCCCAAGAGUUCACAUCGACGGGGAGGUUUGGCACCUCGAUGUCGGCUCAUCGCAUCCUGGGGCGGUAGUACGUCCCAAGGGUUGGGCUGUUCGCCCAUGAAAGCGGUACGCGAGCUGGGUUCAGAACGUCGUGAGACAGUUCGGUCCAUAUCCGGUGUAGGCGUUAGAAUAUUGAGAGGAGCCUUCUUUAGUACGAGAGGACCGAGAAGGACAUACCUCUGGUGUACCAGUUAUCGUGCCAACGGUAAACGCUGGGUAGCUAUGUAUGGAGUGGAUAACCGCUGAAAGCAUCUAAGUGGGAAGCCCACCUCAAGAUAAGUAUUCUCAUC
rnacentral:rRNA from 1 species